rnacentral:misc_RNA from 1 species
UCUUACUCCCUCCAUCCCAUAAAAAACCAACCUAGUACUGGAUGUGACACAUCCUAGUACUACGAAUCUGGACAUACCUCUGUCCAUAUUUAUUGUACUAGAAUAUGUCACAUCGAGUUCUAGAUUUUUUUCAGGACAGAGGGAGUAUACUCCAUCCAUC